CGGCGGACGGGUGAGUAACACGUGGAUAACCUACCUAUAAGACUGGGAUAACUUCGGGAAACCGGAGCUAAUACCGGAUAAUAUAUUGAACCGCAUGGUUCAAUAGUGAAAGACGGUUUUGCUGUCACUUAUAGAUGGAUCCGCGCCGCAUUAGCUAGUUGGUAAGGUAACGGCUUACCAAGGCAACGAUGCGUAGCCGACCUGAGGGGGGUGAUCGGCCACACUGGAACUUAGACACGGUCCAG
rnacentral:rRNA from 1 species